rnacentral:rRNA from 1 species
AACGAACGCUGGCGGCAGGCUUAACACAUGCAAGUCGAGCGCCCCGCAAGGGGAGCGGCAGACGGGUGAGUAACGCGUGGGAACGUACCUUUUGGUUCGGAACAACUCCGGGAAACUGGAGCUAAUACCGGAUAAGCCCUAACGGGGAAAGAUUUAUCGCCGAAAGAUCGGCCCGCGUCUGAUUAGCUAGUUGGUGAGGUAACGGCUCACCAAGGCGACGAUCAGUAGCUGGUCUGAGAGGAUGAUCAGCCACACUGGGACUGAGACACGGCCCAGACUCCUACGGGAGGCAGCAGUGGGGAAUAUUGGACGAUGGGCGCAAGCCUGAUCCAGCCAUGCCGCGCGAGUGAUGAAGGCCUUAGGGUUGUAAAGCUCUUUUGUCCGGGAAGAUAAUGACUGUACCGGAAGAAUAAGCCCCGGCUAACUUCGUG